GCAAGGAGAGCUACAUGUCUUCGGCUGACAGGUGCUCAGGAAUUGGAUCAUAUAAUCUUCCACAUUUGACUGAACAAACCGCAAGGCUGACAGAAAAUGAGCAUUUCGGAUUUGCACAGGGUCACCAGGAAUUGAUUCCAGCUGCCUUAACAUAUGCGAGCCAUUAAUCUUCAGAACUGCUGAGGCCAGCAUAUUAUUACCAGAGCCGCCACAUGCCUUCAAGAGUGCCUAAAGGCCAGUGCAGGAGUUUUCUAGCUCUCGUCCUCCACGUGACAAUGCUGGCUGUGAGAUCAUGCCUUCUAGACUGAUGUCAUUGGCAGACCAGGGAUCACUGGGAUAUUCGAGCAGCUCUGCUUCACAAGCUAAGAGCUGCCAGUGCGAAUCUGACCGACGACAUAUCUUGAAGGAGCUGGCAUUCAUAAAAAAUCAGAAUGAAAACAUCUUGACAAUACUGAACAAACUAAGAUAGAAACAGGAUUUGAGUGUGAAGAGUUUGGGUUCCCCCUGGAGACACCGGAACAGCUGGAAAAUCUGGAAGAAAAGCUUGCAAAAGAUCAAGAUGCCCGCCAUACAUUGAUCAAACGUCUGGCGAACCUUGGAGGAGCAAAUACUGGCCAGGCAGUUAGGGCCCAACUUCGCUACCUCCUAUCCGAUGGGCUGGGAGCAGCUUAGUCUUUUCGGUCAAAAAGCAAAAAGGAGUUUUGCCAGCCUACAUGUAUGGAGCAUCA
rnacentral:lncRNA from 1 species